rnacentral:rRNA from 1 species
UACGUAGGCAGCAAGCGUUGUUCGGAGUUACUGGGCGUAAAGGGUGUGUAGGCGGUUGUUUAAGUUUGGUGUGAAAUCUCCCGGCUCAACCGGGAGGGUGCGCCGAAUACUGAGUGACUAGAGUGCGGGAGAGGAAAGUGGGAUUCCUGGUGUAGCGGUGAAAUGCGUAGAUAUCAGGAGGAACACCGGUGGUGUAGACGGCUUUCUGGACCGUAACUGACGCUGAGACACGAAAGCGUGGGUAGCAAACAGG